rnacentral:rRNA from 1 species
CCUACGGGUGACAGCAGUGAGGAAUAUUGGUCAAUGGACGAGAGUCUGAACCAGCCAAGUAGCGUGAAGGAUGACUGCCCUAUGGGUUGUAAACUUCUUUUAUAUGGAAAUAAAAUGUUCCACGUGUGGGCUUUUGUAUGUACCAUAUGAAUAAGGAUCGGCUAACUCCGUGCCAGCAGCCGCGGUAAUACGGAGGAUCCGAGCGUUAUCCGGAUUUAUUGGGUUUAAAGGGAGCGUAGGUGGAUUGUUAAGUCAGUUGUGAAAGUUUGCGGCUCAACCGUAAAAUUGCAGUUGAAACUGGCAGUCUUGAGUACAGUAGAGGUGGGCGGAAUUCGUGGUGUAGCGGUGAAAUGCUUAGAUAUCACGAAGAACUCCGAUUGCGAAGGCAGCUCACUGGACUGCAACUGACACUGAGGCUCGAAAGUGUGGGUAUCAAACAGGAUUAGAUACCCUAGUAGUC